rnacentral:rRNA from 1 species
UGAUCCGGAUCAGGGACAGUGUCUGAUGGGUAGUUUAACUGGGGCGGUUGCCUCCUAAAGAGUAACGGAGGCGCCCAAAGGUUCCCUCAGCCUGGUUGGUAAUCAGGUGUUGAGUGUAAGUGCACAAGGGAGCUUGACUGUGAGACCGACGGGUCGAGCAGGGACGAAAGUCGGGACUAGUGAUCCGGCGGUGGCUUGUGGAAGCGCCGUCGCUCAACGGAUAAAAGGUACCCCGGGGAUAACAGGCUGAUCUUCCCCAAGAGUCCAUAUCGACGGGAUGGUUUGGCACCUCGAUGUCGGCUCGUCGCAUCCUGGGGCUGGAGUCGGUCCCAAGGGUUGGGCUGUUCGCCCAUUAAAGCGGUACGCGAGCUGGGUUUAGAACGUCGUGAGACAGUUCGGUCCCUAUCCGCUGUGCGCGUAGGAAUAUUGAGAAGGGCUGUCCCUAGUACGAGAGGACCGGGACGGACGAACCUCUGGUGUGCCAGUUGUUCUGCCAAGGGCAUGGCUGGUUGGCUACGUUCGGGAGGGAUAACCGCUGAAAGCAUCUAAGCGGGAAGCCUGCUUCGAGAUGAGUAUUCCCACC